rnacentral:sRNA from 1 species
GGAGCAUGUGGUUUAAUUCGAAGCAACGCGCAGAACCUUACCAGCCCUUGACAUCCCGAUCGCGGAUACGAGAGAUCGUAUCCUUCAGUUCGGCUGGAUCGGAGACAGGUGCUGCAUGGCUGUCGUCAGCUCGUGUCGUGAGAUGUUGGGUUAAGUCCCGCAACGAGCGCAACCCUCGCCCUUAGUUGCCAGCAUUCAGUUGGGCACUCUAAGGGGACUGCCGGUGAUAAGCCGAGAGGAAGGUGGGGAUGACGUCAAGUCCUCAUGGCCCUUACGGGCUGGGCUACACACGUGCUACAAUGGUGGUGACAGUGGGCAGCGAGACCGCGAGGUCGAGCUAAUCUCCAAAAGCCAUCUCAGUUCGGAUUGCACUCUGCAACUCGAGUGCAUGAAGUUGGAAUCGCUAGUAAUCGCAGAUCAGCAUGCUGCGGUGAAUACGUUCCCGGGCCUUGUACACACCGCCCGUCACACCAUGGGAGUUGGUUCUACCCGAAGGUAGUGCGCUAACCGCAAGGAGGCAGCUAACCACGGUAGGGUCAGCGACUGGGGUGAAGUCGUAACAAGGUAGCCGUAGGGGAACCUGCGGCUGGAUCACCUCCUUUCUAAGGAAGCUGUGGAAUUGGAAGACGGCAUCUUCGGAUGCAUGACCUUUCCCGUGCUUUUUAGAACAUAGAUGGCACCAGUCAGGUGACCAUCGAACGCAAUACGUCGAGUAUGGCGAUUUGGUUGUCCUUCGAGCGCUAAGCGAGAAGGGCGGAUAGCCAGAUCCCGCUCAGAUAUGGCGAGACCCGCCGUCCACGUUUCUCUUUCUCACAAGGAUACGAACCACGCCGCAUCAUGUUGCGUGCUUAACGAAUGGGCCCGUAGCUCAGGUGGUUAGAGCGCACGCCUGAUAAGCGUGAGGUCGGCAGUUCGAGUCUGCCCGGGCCCACCAUUCGCUAACGCUCAUGGUGACCCCGGCCAGUCUCUCUAGUUUGUUUGUCCUCGCGAUCUUCGAUCGCUGCGGGCAAACGGGCCGGGCCCUUCGGAGCGAUCCGGAGCGCAUCGAAGAUGGGGCUGUAGCUCAGCUGGGAGAGCACCUGCUUUGCAAGCAGGGGGUCAGCGGUUCGAUCCCGCUCAGCUCCACCAUUUUUGGAACUGGGGCGCCGGACGACCGGCGACGGCCUUUGGCCUUGCGAAGCUUUGCUUCGUUUGAGUGCCAAAGCGUGGGUUGGAUAUCCUUGGAGAAAAAAUAGGUUUGCAUCGUCUCCAUCGUGAGACGGAUGCCUGUUCUGCUUACAUUGUGAAGAGAAGAUAUGUCUGGAAGCUUCCAGGUGUUGAUGGUGAUCGAAAGGUUGCCUGAGACGUCCGAGCCCAGUCCCGAAGAAGCCAUGGAUGGUCUAGCCGACCGGAAAUGGAAGAGGGUCUGGAGGUAGGAGGGAAGUCUUGUCCUUGAGGCAUGAUCGUUGUUGGGGUGUUCUUCGGAGCGCGCCUCUGAUGGUCGUGUCGGAUUGGUGUUGCCUGACCGCGCAUCACCGGACAGAUCUCGAGAAGCUGGUCUUAAGAUAUGGCCUCGAAGUCGCUCGGCGUGACUUUUGUGAGGACCAUAUCGAACACGUCGAUGGCAUUGUUAGAAAGCGCGAUUGUAAAAGGUAAUCGCGCAUAGCUGGUCUGGCGACUGCAAGGUCUCCGGAUUUUGGCUGCUGCGGCAUACGAAAGUUGCCCGGAUGGCCAGAUUUGGCACCCCUUCGAGCGCAAGCGAGGAGGAUAGGUUUGCCAAAUCCAGCAAAGACGAUGAGCAUUGGCAAUGAGAACGAUCAAGUGAAAGAAGGGCAUUUGGUGGAUGCCUUGGCAUGCACAGGCGAUGAAGGACGUGAUACGCUGCGAAAAGCCGUGGGGAGCUGCGAAUAGC